rnacentral:tRNA from 1 species
GGGAAAGUGACUCAGUGGUAGAGUGCUUGCUUUGCAUGCAUGAGGCCCUGGGUUCGAUUCCUCAGCACCA